GCUAGUAAUCACAGGUCAGCAUACUGUGGUGAAUACGUUCCCGGGCCUUGUACACACCGCCCGUCACACCAUGAGAGUUGAGAAUACCCGAAGCCCAUGUCAAAGUGGUCGAAGGUAGGCUUGAUGAUUGGGGUGAAGUCGUAACAAGGUAAC
rnacentral:rRNA from 1 species